rnacentral:rRNA from 1 species
GAUCAUGGCUCAGAUUGAACGCUGGCGGCAGGCCUAACACAUGCAAGUCGAACGGUAACAGGAAACAGUUUGCUGUUUCGCUGACGAGUGGCGGACGGGUGAGUAAUGUCUGGGAAACUGCCUGAUGGAGGGGGAUAACUACUGGAAACGGUAGCUAAUACCGCAUAACGUCGCAAGACCAAAGAGGGGGGACCUUCGGGCCGUCUUGCCAUCGGAUGUGCCCACGAUGGGAUUAGCUAGUAGGUGGGG